UACGUAGGGUGCGAGCGUUGCUCGGAAUCACUGGGCGUAAAGGGCGCGUAGGCGGUCAGCACAAGUCAGUUGUGAAAUCUCCGGGCUUAACUCGGAAAGGUCAACUGAUACUGUGCGACUAGAGUGCAGAAGGGGCAACUGGAAUUCUUGGUGUAGCGGUGAAAUGCGUAGAUAUCAAGAGGAACACCUGCGGCGAAGGCGGGUUGCUGGGCUGACACUGACGCUGAAGCGCGAAAGCCAGGGGAGCGAACGGG
rnacentral:rRNA from 1 species